UCAAAUGAAGAAGAACAUGAAUAACCAAGAUUUAGAUAAUGAAGUUUUAUAAUUGGAAAAUCCCAAAAUGCCAAUUUAAAAGAGACUAUAUAAACUAGCUUUUUACAGUCAUAGUUUAAAGUUGAUCUAAAAGUCAAAAACUGUUGAACAAGUUUAUGCUUUACUAAAAGAAUAUGAAACUUGUAGUAUAGUGAAAAUAAAGAAUCUAGUAAUAAAAACAAAGGAUCCGUGGUCAUAAUUUCAUGCAUAUAGGAUUAAUUCAAGUUGCAGUUAAACCACUAAACUACUAAAGGAAUUAUAAAUUGAAUUCUUCAUAUUAUUGGAUUAAGCAGAUGCUUAGAUUAGGAGAUUUUAGGCAGUAUCAUGGAAGUUAGAUAGAAAUAGAUCUGUCUACAUGAUGGACCAGUAAAUUUAACUGCUCCCUGAUCUUACUUCUCAGUCUCAGUGAUCCUCACAGAUUAAUAAGCCGUAACGUACACUAAAUAUUAGAAACUGUUCAGGGAAUUUACUAAUCAUGCUUGAAGGAAGUCAUUAUAUUGCUUUAAUAUAUAGAAUAUACUAUAAAUGUAUGAAAACUAAUCUAAAUGUUCAUGCCUUAGUUAAAAGUCCUAGUGGUCAAACCCUAUUAAUACAAAGUAGUACUAAAAAUGCUAAUGUUAGAAUUCUCAGACCUAUUAUUUGGAAAGAUAUUACUUUACCAGAUGAUUGGUUAUUAACAAAUGAAAGUUACCAAAGUCACUUACAAAAAGACACCAAUGACUUAGAUUAUAUACAACAAUACUCAGAUGGAACUGUUAAAAUAAGUUUUAAAGAUAUACGAGUCAAUACUCCUUCUAGACAUAGCUUUGAUAAUAGGAGUCUGGCCAGUACGUCUAGAAAAAGACUAAAUUCACAACUCAGUUUAGAUAGACUGAGCAGUUACAAAUCAAGUAAAAGUUUUUUGAUCUACUUAACAUAAAACUACAUUACAAGGAGUAGAACUACUUCACAAUUAGUAAACCCAGAUAACUCAACACACCUCAAUUUGAAAUGAAGAGGACCGAAGAGGAGUCAUCCAAGGGUCACCUACACAACAGAUUUUGAAGUUAAUACCGCCUAUUAAUCCACAAUUACUACAUACAUAAAGAUACAUACGCUGUUAAACUUCACUAAAGAUUAUAGGUCAAAAGAAAUAAAAUUAAAAGACAUGGAUUAAAAGCAAGUAUAACUACAAAACCAUGAUAAAUUAAUAAAUUCUUAGAGAAAGUUUAUGAAUGAAUACACAUAGAUAAAUUCAUAAUCUUAGAGAAGUUAAUGAUGAAAGACGAAUGUAUUUACUUCCUUUGAUUUAUUAUGAAAACUAUCAUAAACAAUUAAAUACUAUUACUAAAACUAUCCUGGAAAAUUACAGAUAACACUUCUGUUUCCUCUAGUCAUCCGCCCUUAGAAACUGUUAUUAUUGAACACAAAUGAUCUACUAUGAAAGCUAUACCUUUCAAAUUACCUAAUGAUAAUACAGAGAUUAAGAAAGUUAUUGAACAAAAUAAUUAUACAAACCAAUACCUAACAUCUAUUGGAAAACAGUUAGACAACAUUGAAACUAAGAUUGAUAAUAAACCGCUUAUUAAUGAAGCCUCUAGUUCCAAAAUAAAUCUAGAAAUCCCUCUGACGUCUUUACCUAGUAAUAGAAGUAAACUUGGUCUUAAAAAACCAACAAAAGAUAUUCAAAAAAUUGAAGACUUAUUCUCUCGUCUUGAGUCAAAAUCCCAACCCAAGGAUGAAGGAUCAUCUAUUAAAGUCAUUAAUCAAAAUCAAAAUCAUUCUAAUGAUGCCGAAUCUAGUAGUGAAGAUUUAUCAGAAUUAGAAAACCAGUUUAAUGUUAAUAAAAUAAAAGUUGCUCCUAGUCGUACUUCUAUUUCAAUUGGUACUCUAGACCUACUCCUCAUGAAUCUUCAAUUUGAUGACGAAAUCUAAUAAUCAAUUUUCUGUUUAGCUAAAAUUAUAUGAUGGACAUUGCCAUGUCUUAGUGCACAUGACUUUUUUACAAAAAUUACAUCAUUUAUCCUAUGGUCUCAAAUAGUUAUCUUACGAAUGAUUUAGAAGUUACCCAAGUGACAUUGUAUUUUGAUUAGCCUCUGGUUUUACCGGAUCUAAAUCUUGGUGGGAUUCGAUAUCUCACUGAGAAUCAACGAACAAUAUUAAAAAUGCUAUUCACCUUAGAUGAAAAUAAUCUUUCUAUUUUUGAAUAAACAAUUGGACUAGUAACCCAUGGAAUUAACACUAUUAAUUUACACAAUCAUCAAACAUUUUAUAGGAACACGCAAGUACAUACAUUCAGAAUCCAUUACCAGUUACGUAACCUCAGCUGCCAACACUUAGUGAUUUUAGAUGUACACCGAUGUUUUUACCUCCCGAGUCAUGUUAAGGAGAAGAUUGUAAUAAACCUUUUUGGAAAUAAAAAUUAUUAUGGUUUUACCCAGCUCUUUUUGGCCCACAAAAUCCUAGACGUCCUUAGUCAACAUCAGGAUCAAUUGACUACGCUCCUUAAACUUAUGGUUAUAUAAUAAGCACUAUUCAAAAAGAAGGAUUUAGAAUGUUAGUGACAGACAAUUAGAAACAAUAAACAAUAUCAAAAUAAAGCUAAUAUGAAUUAGUAACUUUUGUGAACAUUGAUUUACCCCCUGUUGUCCCCUUCUACGAAAACAUAACAUAAUACCUUAAAAAGAUUUUCAAUCUCACAGAAAGCAUAAACAUAUUAAGUUCCAACCUGAUAAGUUCUAUAAAAAACCUAAACAAAAGACUACUAAACACCACCCUAAAUCUAAACAUUAUAAUAAGAAAGAUAUUACAUGUCAUAAAUGUGGCAAAAAGGGUCACUACAAAAAUGAAUGUUGGUCCAAAUCCAAAAUAAAUAAAUUACAAAAUCUCUGAUGAAGAUAAGAAUAUGAUAUUUAAAAUAUUCAAAUUAACCAACAUAGAUAGUUAUAGUUCUGAAAAUAAUCUAGACAGUCCCCACAGUUAUUCUUCAUCCAGCGAUGAUAAUAUUAAUAUUGCAUGAGGUACAUUGUUGUAAACCGUAAAGUCUCCCAAAAGGUCAAAGAAGAAAUGCUCUUCAAUCGAAUUAAUGUAGUAAACUAAAGAUGAUACUCUUAACAACAUAAUUACCAAACUAAAACCCUAUGGCGGAGUCCUACUUUAACAAAAAGAUAAACCUUUUAUAAGUCUUAAUAAAACUUAGAAAGAUUUUAAAAACUCUAACCAUAAGAAGUUUGUUUACAAGACUUACAAACACGAAUUCAGUUAAUAACAUCAAAGUUUUCAAGCUUUAAAACUAAAAGAUUCAAAUUAGAAGAACAAUAACCAAUUAAAAACAAUAACAAAUUUAAUGAAACUACAAAAUGACUCUUCUGAUGAAGCAGAAUCUAGUAAAGAGUUCGAUAACGUUUAAUUAGAAUAAAUAUAUUACCACAUCCAUUUAACAGAAAUGGCCAUUCAAGGUCAAACUGUUGUUUAAAGAUUGCAUUAGAAGUUAUAGCUUUAAUUGAUACAGGAGCCGACUUAAAUUGUAUACAAGAAGGCUUAAUUCCUACUAAAUUCUACCAUAAAACUACAGAAAAGCUAAGCACGGCAAACGGAAGUAGGAUGAAUAUUAAGUAUAAACUUCCAAAAGUUCACAUUUGCCAAGAUGAUGUCUGUUUUAAAACUUCCUUUAUUUUAGUAAAAAAUAUGACUAAUAAAGUUAUCUUGGGAAUCCCUUUCAUUUAUUUACUAUACCCCUUUACAAUAGAUUCUGAUGGCCUAACUUCUAAACCCUUUGGUAAAAAGAUUACAUUUAAGUUUAUAUCUAAACCAGAAGCUAUUCAGCUUAACCAAUUACAGAAUCAUUCUAUAUCUAUUAACACUAUUCACAAAACACUAAACAUAUUAACUUUCUUAAAGAAGAAUUAAAAUUAAGAGAAUUGACAUUCAAGUCCAGAGUCAACAACUACAAAAUAGAAUAAAAGAUUUUAGAAUAAAACUUGAGAAAAACAUAUGUGCCUCUCUCCCUAGUGCUUUAUGGCAUAGGAAAAAAUACAUAGUAACCCUACCAUAUAUUAAAGAUUUUCAUGAGAGUAAGAUUCCUACUAAAUCCAGACCUAUCCAAAUGACUUCUGACUUAAUAGAAAAUUGUAAAACAGAAAUAAAUGAUUUACUAAAAAUAAAAUUUUCAAUAAUCACCUUGGUCAUGUCCUGCUUUUUAUGUGAAUAAAAAUUCGAUAUUGAAAGAGGAUUCCCCGCCUAGUUAUAAAACUACAAACCAUUAAAUAGUUUUAGAAUGGUCAGUAUCCUAUCCUAAUACAAAGACUUCAUCAAGAGAAUAAGCACUGCGGUUUAUUUUUUCCAAAAUUAGACUUGAAAGCGGAUUUUGGAAUACAGAUUCAUCCAAAAGAUAGAUAAUAAACUGCCGUUUUACUACACGUUUGGUCCAUUAUGAAUGGAAUGUCAUGCCUUUUGAUUAAAAAAUGCCCCUAGUGAAUUCCAAAUAUUAUGAAUGAAAUAUUCAAUCCUUUUAUACUCAAUUUUCUAUUGUUUACAUUGAUGAUUUCUUAUUUUUUCCAAUUCACUUGAUGACAUUGGGAAACAUUUGCAUACUUCUUUGAAAUAGUCAAAAAUAAUUGUUUUAGUCCCAUUUCUGCUACUAAAAUUGAAGUUAUUCAAACUAAUUCAAUUUUAAGAUAAACAUUUUUCAAGGUACUGUUAUUCCUAUUAAUAGUCCUAUCCAAUUGCUGAAAAAGUCCCUAGCUGAAAUCCUUAGAUAAAAACAGUUACAAAGAUUUCUUGAUCAUAAUUAAAUUGAUGAAUUCAGAAGAUCUUAGAAAAAAUUUGCCAACCUCUUUUGACCGUCUAAAAGACAAUCCUCCUCCUUGGUCUUCAGUCCAUACUUCUAUAGUCAAAGAGUUAAAUCGGAUGUCAAAACUUUUACUUGUCUAUGUAUUCCUUCUAAUAAUUCAUUCAAAAUCAUUCAAACUGAUGGCUUCUGAUAUUGGUUAUGGAGGCUCCGCUGCAAAAGUUACACCGUUCUUUCUCCCUUAAACAAAUUGUUCCGUUUUUCAUUCAGGAGUUUUGGAAUAAAGGCACCAAGUACUUAUAUACUAUUAAAAAAAGAAAUUUUGUCUAUUGUUUUAUGUAUCUCAAAUUUCAAGAUGAUAUUUUUGAAUCAAAGUUUUUAGUCAGAGGUUGAUUGUAAAAGUGCUAAAUAUGUUUUACAAAAGAUGUCAAAAAUAUUGCAAGUAAACAAAUCUUUGCCAGAUGGAAAUCCAUUUAAGCCAUUUUGAUUUGAUGAAUACAUUAAAGGAAGUCAGAAUUCUAGUCCAGAUUUUGACUCGUGAAUCUUGAGGAAUAAACCUUAACAAUGCCAAUGCCCUUCUGUUCAUCCUACAAAGCUUGAAACUUAUUCACCUUACCAAACUCAUCCAUAGAUACACAAUUCAAAUUGAAAAUUUAUAUACUCACGGUUUUGACCCCAUAUUUACCAAAAGAGAGAUUGAAUGGCGUAUUCAACGUAUCUGUGAAUACCAGCUCAGAGUUAUGUAUCUUAGUAACUAUUUAUCUAUUCUCAGUUAUUGUUAACGUUUCUUGCAGAUGUCUUCUAGUAAACAAUCACCUUCCAGCAAGCCUACCAUCACUAAUCCUUCAACUGCCCUUGCCCUAGUUAACAGAUACCAAAUUUUGGGUACUUUACCUAAACCUACUUAUACCUUAGUUCUUGUUUCUAGUCAAAAACCACAUAACCCUAUGGCCAAACGUUACAGUCAGUCAGGUCGUGACAAUAUUAAAAUCCAUGUAAUAACCUCUCUUUAUUGAACCAGUCCAUACAAACAUUAAACCCUGUUGAUCUUGCUAAUUCUUCUUCCUCCGGAUGGAUUUUACUCCAUGCAUCUGACAAAGUCAUUGGGUUUUCAAAGGGACAUUUUACUAAAACACCCAGCAGUUGUUUUUAAAACUAUUUAUGAUAAACGAGACCCUGGUAAAGUUAUUUAUCCAUUCUUUAUAUAUUCAUAAUAUUGUUUCCCUUGAUGAAUGGGGUCAUCCCUCUAUUCUUCGAGCUUUACCAAAUCAUACUAUUAAAUAUAGUUAUUAUGAUUACAUAGAAGCCUGGUUCAAAGUCCUUUUACACCAAAAUGAGUCAUUCAGUCACUCGUGGUUUUUCUCUUUUGACCACAAGUUCAAGUCAGUCAUCCCCUCCUGGUUUCUAAGAUGAUGGGAUUUUCAUGGAGCCAUUCUUGAAAUCUUACCGAUUGAUCUCCAGGAUCAAGUAAUUCUUUCUCACCAAAUACAAACAGUAAAGAUCAUUACAGUCAUUUCCCUAGCCUCUUGCUUUUCAUGGCCAAAUAUAAAGUUCCAUGGAGUUCAAGUGGUAGUACAAUAUUGCUAAUCGUAUAGUCAUCCGACAGCAUUUUGUUAAAUGGUGGGACGCCUUUAAGCAUCCCAGAAUUAUUGAACAAGUCAGACUAGAAUUCCCAGUUCUAGUUCCUACUCCAGUUAAACAGGUUGCCCCAGCAUCCUCAGUCAUUGCUCCGGCCUCCAUCAAGUCAAGCUAUUCAACAGCACAGCUAGAUUGCCCAUCUUCCAGUGCAAAAUCAAGUAAAUCCAAGACCAAGUCUUCCAAAACCAAGUCAAAGACACAAGACAACACUGAACUACUUAGAGUUGCCAAUCUUCUUUUGGCACAAGUCCAAGCUCAAGCUCAGUCAACAGUUAAAGAGGAGUGAUCCAGCUCUCACAGCUCUAUGCCCAGUAAGCACAUUCAGACAUCUCCUGACACUUAUGGAUCCCAAGCUAAGAUGCCAGAUCUUUUGCUUAAUUGGGACAGCCAGCACUACUAUUCAAAAAAAAAAAAAAAAAAAUUGCCUAGAAAAAAUUGCUGUUCAAAUAGUCAAAACUUCAGACAGUACCUAUGAACACUGUUAUCACGUUCACUAUUCACUAUUCACUUUUGUCACCGACGUUACAUAUUCACUGUACACUGUUCACUUUUUACUAUUCAAUCACUUUCCACCGAAAGAUUUCCGUAAUUUAUGGAUCACUUAUCUCUCGUUGGGCGUCUAUUUAAACCCACUUCAAUCAGAGAGAAAAGAGGAGGAAAAUUUCCACCACUUCUUCUACUACCAACUCUACAUCCCUUCACCUCCUGAAAACAAUUUCAAAUAUGUAUUCAGUAACAAGUCUCAAGAUCUUUUCUGAUCUUCAGUAAAUUGCAGUCAAAUUUGUAAGUUCAUUUGUAAAUUUAAUAAAAGUUUAUAUUUUAGUAAAUUAUUUCAAAGUUUAUUUAGCAGCUGCCGCCGCCGUGCUCAGACUACGACCCAAUGGACGGUUUUAAUGCUCGGGGUUUAAAUAUAGUAAUUUAUGCUUUGAUUGCUAUGUUAUUUCCUUAUGUGCUUCCACCCAUAUAUAAUAUCUAUAGAUAUAUAUAUAAUGAAUAUCUAUAUAUAUAGAUUACCGGACACAAUGGACGGUUGUACUGUCUGUGUUUAUUAUAGU
rnacentral:lncRNA from 1 species